CACGUAGGGCGCGAGCGUUGUCCGGAAUUAUUGGGCGUAAAGAGCUCGUAGGCGGUCUGCCACGUCCGCUGUGAAAACCUAGGGCUUAACCCUGGGCUUGCAGUAGAUACGGGCAGACUAGAGGUAGGUAGGGGAGAAUGGAAUUCCCGGUGUAGCGGUGAAAUGCGUAGAGAUCUGGAGGAAUACCGAUGGCGAAGGCAGCCAUCUGGCCUAAUACUGACGCUGAGGUACGAAAGCAUGGGGAGCAAACAGG
rnacentral:misc_RNA from 1 species